GUGAGGAAUAUUGGUCAAUGGACGAGAGUCUGAACCAGCCAAGUCGCGUGAAGGAAGACGGUUCUAUGAAUUGUAAACUUCUUUUGUGCAGGAAUAAAGUGGGUUACGUGUAACCUUUUGUAUGUACUGUACGAAUAAGGAUCGGCUAACUCCGUGCCAGCAGCCGCGGUAAUACGGAGGAUCCGAGCGUUAUCCGGAUUUAUUGGGUUUAAAGGGUGCGUAGGUGGAUUGAUAAGUCAGCGGUGAAAGUUUGUAGCUUAACUGUAAAAUUGCCGUUGAAACUGUCGGUCUUGAGUGCAAAUGAGGUAGGCGGAAUGUGUUGUGUAGCGGUGAAAUGCUUAGAUAUAACACAGAACUCCGAUUGCGAAGGCAGCUUACUGGGAUGCAACUGACACUGAUGCACGAAAGCGUGGGUAUCAAACAGGAUUAGAAACCCUUGUAGUCC
rnacentral:rRNA from 1 species